GAUCUCGUUGAUUGCUUCAGUUUUCUUGGCUUCAGUCUCCUUCACCUCUUCUGCCGACAGCUCAUUUGCUGAUAUGUUUUCUUCCACUUCAAUAGGUUCAGUAUUCUUGAUUUCUUCUAGGUCUAGCUCUUGUGCUCGUGGGAUAUCAACUGGUGCCUCAGUUGCUAUUACAUGCUCUUCAGGAGCAGCCUCAUCUGCAGGAGCAACAUUGCUUGUCACAUCCUCAGUGAGUUCGCUGAUGUUUGCAUCAGGGCUCUUGUUGAUUGCUUCAGUUUCCUUCACCACUUCUGCUUGCAGGCCACUUGCUGAUCUAUUUUCUUCCACCUCAACUGGUUCAACACUCUUGAUCUCUUCUAGUUCCGGCUCCUGUGCCUGUGGUAUAUCAAAUGUUGUCUCAGCUACUGUUACAUGCUCUGCAUGAGGUUCCUCGUCUGCAGGCACAACGUUGCUUUUCACAUCCUCAUUGAGCUCACUGAUGUUUGCAUCAGUCCUUUUGCUGAUUGCUUCAGUUUCCUUCACCUCUUCUUCUGGCAGGUCACCUGCUUCAGUAUUCUUGAUCUCUUCUAGCUCUGGCUCUUGUGCAUGUGGUAUAUCGACUGUUGUCUCAGCUACUGUUACAUGUUCUUUAUGAGCUGCCUCAUCUGUAAGAGCAAUGUUGCAUUUCAUAUCUUCAGUAAGCUCACUGAUGUUUGCAUCAGUGCUCUCAUUGAUUGCUUCAGUGUCCUUCACCUCUUCUGCCGGUAUGUCACUCGCUGAUGUGUUUUCUUCCACCUCAACAGGUUCAGUAUUCUCGAUCUCUUCUAGUUCUGGUUCUUGUGCUCGUGGAAUAUUAACUGUUCCCUCAGUUGCUAUUAUAUGCUCUUCAUGAGCUGCCUCGUCUGCAGGAUUGACACUGCUUGUCACAUCCUCAAUGAGCUCGCUGAUGUUUGCAUCAAUGCUCUCGUUGAUUGCUUCAGUUUCCUUCACCUCUUCUGCUGGCAAGUUACCUGCUGAUCUGUUCUCCUCCACCUCAACAGGUUCAACAUUCUCAAGAUCCUUUAGUUCCGGCGCUUGUGCUUGUGGUAUAUCAACCGUUGCCUCAGCUGCUAUUACAUGUUCUUCAGGAGCUGCCUCUUCUGCAGGAGUAACAUUGCUUUUCAUAUCCUCAGUGAGCUCACUAAUGCUUGCAUCAGUGCUCUCAUUGAUUGCUUCAGUGUCCUUCACCUUUUCUGCUGGCAGGUCACUUGCUGGUAUGUUUUCUUCCACCUUAACAGGUCUAGUAUUCUGGAUCUCUUCUACUUCUGGCUCUUGUGCUUGUGGUAUAUCGACUGUAUUAUCAGCUACCGUUACAUGUUCUUCAGGAGCUGCCUCGUCUGCAAGAGCAACAUUGCUUUUCACAUCUUCAGUAAGCUCAUUGUUGUUUGCAUCAGUGCUCUCGUUGAUUGCUUCAGUCUCCACGGCUUCACUAUCUUUCACCUCUUCUGCUGGCAGAUCAUUUUCUGAUACAUAUGCUUCCACUUCAGCAGGUUCAGUGUUCUUGGUCUCUUCUAGUUCUGGCUCUUGUGUUCGUGGUAUAUCAACUGUUGCGGCAGUUGCUAUUACAUGUUCUUCAGGAGCUGCCUCGUCUGCACACACGAGAUUGCUUUUCACAUCCUCAGUAAGCUUACUGAUGUUUGCAUCAAUGCUCUCGUUGAAUGCUUCAGUUUCCUUGGCUUCAGUGUCCUUCAUCUCUUCUGCCGGCAUGUCACUAGCUGAUAUGUUUUCUUUCACUUCAACAGGUUCAAUAUUCUUGAUCUCUUCUAGUUCCGGCUCUUGUGCUUGUGCUAUAUCAACUGUUGCCUCAGUUGCUAUUACAUGUUCUUCAGGAGCAGCCUCGUCUGCAAGAGCAACGUUACUUUCCACAUCCUCAGCGAUCUCACUGAAGUUUGCAUCAGUGCUCCCAUUGGUUGCUUCAGUUUCCUUGGCUUCAUUGCCGUUCACCUCUUCUGCCGGCAGGUCACUCGCUGAUAUGUUUUCUUCCACCUCAACAGGUUCAGUAUUCUUGAUCUCUUCUACUUCUGGCUCUUGUGCAUGUGGUAUAUCAACUGUAUCAUCAGCUACUGUUACAUGUUCUUCAGGAGCUGCUUCGUCUGCAAGAGCAACAAUGUUUUUCACAUCUUCAGUGAGCUCACUGUUGUUUGUGUUAGUGCUCUCGUUGAUUGUUUCAGUCUCCAUGGCUUCAGUAUCCUUCACCUCUUCUGCUGGCAGAUCAUUUGCUGAUAUGUUUUCUGCCACUUCAGCAGGUUCAGUAUUCUUGGUCUCUUCUAGUUCUGGCUCUUGUGCUUCUGGUAUAUCAACUGUUGCCUCAGGUGCCAUUACAUGCUCUUCAGGAGCUACCUCCUCUGUAAGGGCAACAUUGUUUUGCACAUCUUCAAUGAGAUCGCUAAUGUUUGCGUCACUGCUCUCAUUGUUUGCUUCAGUUUCCCCCAUCUCUUCUGCAGGCAGGUCGCUUGCUGAUCUAGUUUCUUCCACCUCAACAGGUUCAGUAUUCUUGACCUCUUCUAGUUUCGGCUCUUGUGCUUGUGGUACAUCAACUGUUCUCUCAGCUACUGUUACAUGUUCAUCAUGAGCUGCCUCGUCUGUAAGAGAAACAUUGCUUUGCACAUCUUCAGUGAGCUCACUGUUGUUUGCAUCAGUGCUGUCGUUGAUUGCUUCUGUUUCCACGGUGUCAGUAUCCUUCACAUUUUUCGCUGGCAGAUCACUUGCUGAUGUGUUCCCUUCCACUUCAGCAGGUUCACUAUUCUUGAUCUCUUCUAGGUUUGGCUCUUGCGGUUGUGGUAUAGCACCAGUUGCUUCUGUUGCUUUUGCAUGUUCAUCAGGAGCUGCCUCAUCUGCAAGAGCAAUAUUGCUUUUCACAUCAUUGAUGAGCUCGCUGAUGUUUCCACCAGUACUCUCAUGAGGGAUCAUCUCA
rnacentral:lncRNA from 1 species